UGAGUAACUGCUGCUCUUACAUCCAAGUGUGAGUCUUGUUGAACACCCUUCUCCAUUUCUUAUAGAUAAACUCUUCA
rnacentral:lncRNA from 1 species